CUCCUUCUGUAGUUCAUAAGUGUGGUGAUUGGGUUUUCAUGCACAUGUGUGAGAUGUGCCUCUCACAAAUCUUGUUAUGAAAUCGGCACAUUGCCCGUCUGACA
ensembl:snoRNA